rnacentral:rRNA from 1 species
GACGAACGCUGGCGGCGUGCUUAACACAUGCAAGUCGAACGGAAAGGGCCUGCUUGCAGGGGAGUCGAGGGGCGGACGGGUGAGUAACACGUAGAUGAUCUGCACUUCACUUCGAGAUAAGCCUGGGCAACUGGGGGUAAGGCCAGUAAGGGGCCAUCUUGCGUGUUAUGGUGGGAGAGUUUGUUCGGUCUUGGAUGGGCUCGCGUCCUAUCAGCUGGUUGGUGGGGUAAUGGCCUACCAAGGCGGGGACGGGUAGGCGGCCUGAGUGGGUGGACGGCCACGUUGGGACUGCUACACGGCCCAGCAGCCGGCGGUAGGCAACAGUGGGGAAAAGUGCACUACGGGGGCGACGCGUGUGCAGCGACGGCGCGCGGGUGGUGACCGUCUUCGGGUUGUAAACAACUUUCUCCAGGGUCUAAUCGUGUUGUGACGGUAUCUAGAUAAGAAGCACCGGCUAACUACGUG